CGCCAGACUCCUACGGGAGGCAGCAGUGGGGAAUAUUGCACAAUGGGGGAAACCCUGAUGCAGCGACGCCGCGUGAGUGAAGAAGUAUUUCGGUAUGUAAAGCUCUAUCAGCAGGGAAGAAAAUGACGGUACCUGACUAAGAAGCCCCGGCUAACUACGUGCCAGCAGCCGCGGUAAUACGUAGGGGGCAAGCGUUAUCCGGAUUUACUGGGUGUAAAGGGAGCGUAGGUGGCAUGGUAAGCCAGAAGUGAAAACCCGGGGCUCAACCCCGCGGAUUGCUUUUGGAACUAUCAGGCUGGAGUGCUGGAGGGGUAAGCGGAAUUCCUAGUGUAGCGGUGAAAUGCGUAGAUAUUAGGAGGAACACCGGUGGCGAAGGCGGCUUACUGGACAGAAACUGACACUGAGGCUCGAAAGCGUGGGGAGCAAACAGGAUUAGAUACCCGGGUA
rnacentral:rRNA from 1 species